ensembl:lncRNA
UUUUUUUUUUUUUUUUUUUUGAGACAAGAGUCUCACUCUGUUGCCCGGGCUGGAGUGCAGUGGCACAAUCUCGACUCACUGUAGCCUCUGCCUCCCGGGUUCAAGCCAUUCCCCUGCCUCAGCCUCCCAAGUAGCUGGGAUUGCAGAUGUGCACCACCAUGCCCAGCUAAUUUUUGUAUUUUUGGUAAAGAUGUGAUUUCACCAUGUUGGCCAGGCUGGUCUCGAACUCCGGACUUCAGGUGAUCUGCCCGCUUCGGCCUCCCAAAGUGCUGGGAUUAUGGGCAGUCAGAAUUUCUACGAACCUCCCUCAGGAGGGUCUACCGUGCUGUGAGGGUAGAAAACCAUUUUUAGGGCCUCCCGCUGACCCUGCUGUCCCCGAGACUGAAGCCCCUCCUUUCUCCGAAGCUCUCAGCCCCGGGCCUGGCCCGCCAAGGCUGCUUAGUAAGCAGCUCAGCAAGCCCAGUGUGUUGGAGCAGAGCUGGCGUCUACCUUCUCAGAUGGCAGAGGGACCCCACCUGCAGCAAUUGCCAGGGACCCAAAGUCCUGGGAUGGGAGACAGAUGUCACAGGCCCAAAGUCCUGGGAUGGGAGACAGAUGUCACAGGCCCAAAGUCCUGGGAUGGGAGACAGAUAUGUCACAGGGAUGGAGAAACCGUGUGUGGUCGGUGACUCACCCCAACCUCCAGGCCCUGUAUGUUACCCCACAUGGCAAAAAGGGGCACCACAGAUGAGAUCGGGGACCUUGUGGGGAGGGACCCUGGGCUGCCCAGGUGGGCUCUGUAUGUAAUCAGUGUCCUUCUAACACGGAUGCAGGAGGGGCCAGAGGUCAGAGAGGAGACAGUGGCGUGGAGACAGCAGCAGAGGCUACAUGGGUGUGCUUGGAGGAGGGAGGAGGGGCCACUGGAUGCUGGCAAAGGCAGGGAAAUGGGUUGUCACCCCGGGCUUCAGGAAGGAAGCAGCCCUGCCAACACCUUGAUCUUAGGCCAGUGAGCCUGAAUUUGCACUUCCAACCUCUGGAACCGUAGGAGCAUAAAUAUGUUUUAAGCCACUGAAUUUGUGGUAGUUUGUCCAGGUGGCCGUAGGACCCACACACACCCGCAUCCUGAAUUCCGAUCCUUGAGCAGCUCUGAGAGGACAAGCUGGUGGGCUCUGCAUCCUGAAUUCCGACCCUUGGGCAGCUCUGAGGACAGGCCUAUGGGCUCCCUCUGGGCUCAGCAGCAGAAGCUAGGUCCCUCAGGAGACACAGUCACAGGGCACAGGCCUUGUCACAUCCUGCAGUCCCCGCCUGGGGCCUGUCUCCAGAGCUGCAGUCAGGGGGUGAACUCUGGGAGUGAAAGCAAGAAUCCUUCAGGCUCACUCUCCUCCUGCCACUGUGUCCAAUGGAGAAAACACAGGGGGUGCAGCGGGGGUCGGUCAGCAGCCAACACGGGCCGGGGGCAGAGGGCAGGGAGGAGGGCAUGGUGCCAGGGCUGAGCCCACAGGGUCUUCAUCCAUGGGGUUCUGACCCCUUGGGUCCACACUGACACUGGGGGUCAGAAGGGCACAAGAACCUCUUCCAGGUUCUAAGCCAGGGCUCCCAAGGGGGCCGCCUGUCGACAAGAAUCUCCUGCGGAGGGAGCGUGUGUGUUAAGAGUUAACAUGACAUAAAAUUCACUUUAACUCCAUCUGGGGCUUACCAUUUUAGAGUGUGCAGUCCAGUGGCUUUAAGUACUCACAAUGUUGUGCCAGUAUCACCACUAUUUCAUUCCAGAA